CGUGGAUUGAUUUGUCUGGUUAAUUCCGAUAACGAACGAGAUUGGAGCUUAAUUAAAUAGAAAGAUCAUUCUUUAUAUAUUUCUUUCCUUUACGGGAUUGGAAUACGUGAUUCUUUUCUUCUUAAUGGGAUUUGCGGCGUUCCAGUCGUAAGAAACCCAGCAAUAACAGGUCUGUGAUGCCCUAAGAUGUCUGGGGCUGCACGCGCGCUACAAUGAAAAUUGCAGCGUGUGUGACCUUAUCUGACAAGAUUAGGUAAACAAGUCAAAUUAUUCCGUAUUUGGGAUCGAAUAUUGUAAUUAUUAUUCGUGAACGAGGAACUUCAAGUAAGUGUAAGUCAUCAGCUUACGCUGAAUACGUCCCUGCCCUUUGUAC
rnacentral:rRNA from 1 species